rnacentral:misc_RNA from 1 species
GUAUUUCAUUGCGUUAAACGCGGCAUACAUUCCAUGAGACUUUCGUUACAGUGUGUGUGUAAAGACAUAGAACCACAGCAGGAGGACAGAGCCCCCCACGCCACAGAACUACAGAGGGUGCACAGGUGUGAGUGGAUGUGUAAACAGAGUGUGCACAUGCCCCCCAUACAGGGAGACCAGCAACAACUCUUGUUGACAGUUCAGUAAUGAUCCUUCCGCAGGUUCACCUACGGAAA